UACGUAGGGGGCAAGCGUUGUCCGGAAUCAUUGGGCGUAAAGAGCGCGUAGGCGGCCCUGUAAGUCCGCUGUGAAAGUCAAGGGCUCAACCCUUGGAUGCCGGUGGAUACUGCAGGGCUAGAGUCCGGAAGAGGCGAGUGGAAUUCCUGGUGUAGCGGUGAAAUGCGCAGAUAUCAGGAGGAACACCGAUGGCGAAGGCAGCUUACUGGGCCGAUACUGACGCUGAGGAGCGAAAGCGUGGGGAGCGAACAGG
rnacentral:rRNA from 1 species